rnacentral:rRNA from 1 species
UACGUAGGGGGCAAGCGUUGUCCGGAAUCAUUGGGCGUAAAGAGCGUGUAGGCGGUCCGUUAAGUCGGCUGUGAAAGUCCAAGGCUCAACCUUGGGAUGCCGGUCGAUACUGCCGGACUAGAGUUCGGAAGAGGCGAGUGGAAUUCCCGGUGUAGCGGUGAAAUGCGCAGAUAUCGGGAGGAACACCGGUGGCGAAGGCGGAUCUCUGGGCCGUAACUGACGCUGAGGAGCGAAAGCAUGGGGAGCGAACAGG